rnacentral:rRNA from 1 species
GACGAACGUUGGCGGCGUGGAUUAGGCAUGCAAGUCGAACGGUAUCAUCCUUUCGGGGGUGAGAGAGUGGCGAACUGGUGAGUAACACGUAGGUUAUCUACCCUCAAGACGGGGACAACCCAGGGAAACUUGGGCUAAUACCGGAUGUGAGCAACUUUUAGUUGUUUGAAAGGUGGCGUAAGCUGUCGCUUGGGGAUGAGCCUGCGUCCUAUUAGUUAGUUGGUGAGGUAACGGCUCACCUAGGCAAUGAUAGGUAGGCGGCCUUAACGGGUGGUCGCCCACACUGGGAUUGAGAUACGGCCCAGACUCCUACGGGAGGCAGCAGUCGAGAAUAGUCUACAAUGGUCGGAAGACUGAUAGUGCGACGCCGCGUGAACGAUGAAUCCCUUCGGGGUGUAAAGUUCUUUUAUAUGUGAGCAGUGCUUCUUAUAUUAACAGUAUGGGGAGAGAGAUAUUAGCAUAUGAAUAAGCAACGGCUAACUCCGUGCCAGCAGCCGCGGUAAACUCGUCU